rnacentral:rRNA from 1 species
AUUGAACGCUGGCGGCAGGCCUAACACAUGCAAGUCGAGCGGAUGAAGGGAGCUUGCUCCUGGAUUCAGCGGCGGACGGGUGAGUAAUGCCUAGGAAUCUGCCUGGUAGUGGGGGAUAACGUCCGGAAACGGGCGCUAAUACCGCAUACGUCCUGAGGGUGAAAGUGGGGGAUCUUCGGACCUCACGCUAUCAGAUGAGCCUAGGUCGGAUUAGCUAGUUGGUAGGGUAAAGGCCUACCAAGGCGACGAUCCGUAACUGGUCUGAGAGGAUGAUCAGUCACACUGGAACUGAGACACGGUCCAGACUCCUACGGGAGGCAGCAGUAGGGAAUAUUGGACAAUGGGCGAAAGCCUGAUCCAGCCAUGCCGCGUGUGUGAAGAAGGUCUUCGGAUUGUAAAGCACUUUAAGUUGGGAGGAAGGGCAGUAAGUUAAUACCUUGCUGUUUUGACGUUACCAACAGAAUAAGCACCGGCUAACUUCGUG